rnacentral:rRNA from 1 species
AACGAACGCUGGCGGCAUGCCUAACACAUGCAAGUCGAACGAGACCUUCGGGUCUAGUGGCGCACGGGUGCGUAACGCGUGGGAACCUGCCCUUAGGUUCGGAAUAACUCCCCGAAAGGGGUGCUAAUACCAGAUAAUGUCUUCGGACCAAAGAUUUAUCGCCUUUGGAUGGGCCCGCAUUGGAUUAGCUAGUUGGUAGGGUAAAAGCCUACCAAGGCGACGAUCCAUAGCUGGUCUGAGAGGAUGAUCAGCCACACUGGGACUGAGACACGGCCCAGACUCCUACGGGAGGCAGCAGUGGGGAAUAUUGGACAAUGGGCGAAAGCCUGAUCCAGCAAUGCCGCGUGAGUGAUGAAGGCCUUAGGGUUGUAAAGCUCUUUUACCCGGGAUGAUAAUGACAGUACCGGGAGAAUAAGCUCCGGCUAACUCCGUG